UCCUAGCCCAGAUAGGAACGGUAUCCUUUUUAUUUUUCUUUAAAAAAUAAAAAGAUAAAGUGGAUAGCUGGAAAUAGC
rnacentral:sRNA from 10 species